GGGUGGUAAAUUCCAUCUAAAGCUAAAUACAGGCGAGAGACCGAUAGCGAACAAGUACAGUGAUGGAAAGAUGAAAAGAACUUUGAAAAGAGAGUGAAAAAGUACGUGAAAUUGUUGAAAGGGAAGGGCAUUUGAUCAGACAUGGUGUUUUGCGCCCCUUGCCUCUCGUGGGCUUGGGACUCUCGCAGCUCACUGGGCCAGCAUCGGUUUUGGCGGCCGGAAAAAACCUAGGGAAUGUGGCUCUGCGCCUCGGUGUAGAGUGUUAUAGCCCUGGGGAAUACGGCCAGCCGGGACCGAGGACUGCGAUACUUGUUAUCUAGGAUGCUGGCAUAAUGGUUAUAUGCCGCCCGUCUUGAAACACGGAC
rnacentral:rRNA from 1 species